GAAACGUUUAGGAGAGACUAGUGUUCGAGCUCACCGUGCUAAAUGAAUCUCGCGGUAAAUUUGGAGAGGGAGGAUUACAACAUGGCGGCUCCAGCAUCUUGCAUGAGCGCGGAGCACGGGUGUGUCAUGUUCGAUUGUCUCGUACAUCUAUGGGAGUGGAUUGAUCCACCGGUGACUCAGACAGAUUAUCAAAUGGAGAAUAAAAAAAACGUGACGGCGACGCAGCAACCACUCACUCAACAACACCUCUUAGCACACCAUGUCCAUCCCGAUCAAAUAUAUUCGCCUCAACGUUCACAGUUACCUACGCAAUUAAACAACCAGUCCGCGCAAAUUCAACCCAAUGGCGUCAUGCAUCAGCUAUUGCAAAGUCAAUAUCAUUCCAACAUGAAUGCACGAUCGCCGCUCCUUGAAAACAGGCACGAGAUGUAUGGAACCGGUCAAAAUCACGACUACGCCAGACAUUACGGAGCAAACGACAAUUAUAAUUAUGCACAGUCUCCUCCACGGCUAGAAAGGACUGAAAUCCACGUAGACCAAAAUGUUAACCAUGAACUGCAAAACAUGCCUAAAGGAUACAAUGCAGAAGUGUACCAAGAUUACUUAAAACGAAACCCACCGAAAGAAAGUAACCAAAUAUAUCAAAACCAUCAACAUACGUAUAGGCCUAAUGUUAAUCAGUACGGGUCGAAGCCGUAUCUUCCUUAUUCAAAUAGAAUAGGACCACAGAGUAAUACAGAAUUGUUAAGAAGACAAUAUAAUGAAAUACAACAAAUGAAAAUGCAACAACAAAUGCACUAUCAAAAUCAGGCACAAAUGCAUCAACAACAAAAAUUUGCUGAACGACAGCUAUUACUGCAACAAAUUCAUGGCGUUCAACCACCGCCGAAUUUACAAAAUAGUAUAUAUUCAGAUAGUUCUUAUAGAGAUUUGUAUAGUAGUAAAAAUGAUUUCAAAGAUUAUAGCAGUCCAGAUAUACAAAAAGAUAUCGAAAUGUACUCAAAGAACAACGAGUACAAGGAUAGAGAAGGACCUACAAGGCAAUAUCAAGAAACACAAUGGCAAUCUAAUCAGCCUGAUUAUCGGGAAUCGGAGAGGCAUAAUCCACAAGAUCAAGGCAAAUCAAAAAACCAAUCUUUAGUUUCGGAAUUUAACAUUCAAAAGAAUAACCCGGGCGUAGUGUCUCCGAUGAAAUCAAGCGAAUCCAGUUCGCCUAGUAUAAAAUCUCCUUCUUUAGAAAGUCGACGGAGUAGUAGUGGUACUCAAGCAUUACGAUCUCCAACUGCGCAACGAAUACCUUCUGCUCCUGUAACUAUGGCUGGGCUAUUAUAUAAACAAGGAUCUGACGGUCUUAAAGUUUGGCGCAAACGGUGGUUCGUUUUAUCAGAAUACUGCUUGUUCUAUUACAAAAGUCAAGACGAAGAAAAACUCCUCGGAUCUGUACUUUUGCCAUCUUACAAAGUAUCAGCAUGUACUGCAGAUGAUAAAGUGAUGCGGAAGUUUGCUUUUAAGUUGGAACACGCAAAUAUGCGGACGUAUGUGUUAGCUGCAUUAGACCAGGAAACUAUGUUGAAGUGGGUUAAAGCGCUCACUAUGGCGGCUCUUAUGCAAAGUCCCACUGAACAACAGCAAAAACAAAAUGACCGAGCAGCUGCGAAAACAGAGGACGGAGAUGAAAUAGCAGGUCCAACAUAUGCGAAUGCUCCACCGAAACCGAGACGAUCUAAUGAUGGAUAUAAUUCACCUAGCCCUGAUAUGUAUGAUCCAAAUUAUGAUCUACUCAAAAAACCUGCAUCACACUACAGCCAGGGCACCAAUCAUACUCGAUACCAGGACACAAACUAUAGCACUAAACAGGAGAUUUACACACGUAACCCGCUAUCACCGCCAACGCAAAUACCAUAUCCCACAAAACGGUCUUAUGAUAUGCAAAAUCUAUCAUUACCUUUGACUAAUACUGUUUCUGAAUCACUAGAUAAAAAUCACACACCAUCCAUGUACAAAUCUAACCCACAGUCCCCUUAUUUUGAUAGUAGGAAAAGCCAGCAGCAACAGGCACAAGAUGAUAAAAUCGAGAGUCUAUACGAAAAGCAACCAAACUACAAUCCGUUCUUACAAGAUUAUGGGCAGAAAGUUGAACAAAAGCAUAAAGACGAUGAAGUUAAUCAGCCACCUACUGAUUUAAAUAAAAUAUCCAUUUAUAAUGAAAGUUAUUCUGAAACUCGAAAUGACCCUAAACCAUUAGCCGAUUCGAAUGUGUACGGAAGAGAUUUAUAUGGUGACAACUUAAAUAACAAAAUAAAUAAACCAACAACUUCAAUGAAUGAGCGGUUAGCUGAAAGACGCACACCAGAUGCUUAUAGAAGAUCUACAGCUAUGUCUUCAUAUAACUCUGAAAAGAUCGGGGAUUACGAAGACAUUUAUGCAGGUUACGGUAACGAAAAAUCAUACGCAAAAUCACCGAAUCCAUCACGAGAUACCGUUAGUCUAUCUAGUCACAAAUCUCCGCAAGAACAAUCCUUCGGUUAUCCGCAAGAGAAAGUUUUUAGUGGACCGUCAGUUUUACGUAGGAAGAAGAUGCAAGCAAGUGGUAUCCAACCACCGAUGCCGAGACCACAUAGUGCUGACUUCCUAGAGUAUGAGUCUAAGAACGAGGCUCAAAACAAAACCAUUGCCGCGCGAAACAAUUAUGAUCCACCGAAACAACCACAACGUCCCAAAUCUAGCCUUGAUAUCAAUUCUUAUUACGAUCCUAGUUCAGAUAAAUAUUAUUCUGAGGAAAGCUAUGCACAAAAAAUGCGACAAUCGGCACAAUAUUUACAACAGCAAGGUCUUGGACCAAAAAAUAUCCAAAUCCCAUUAGAGAAAUAUGCAAGUGGACUAGCUGAGAAACAAUUGCAUUCUCCAUAUGCUCAAACUAUUAAUAAUAACUAUGAAACCGAGUUUAAUGUUAACCGUAAUAUUCGUGAUAAUGUGAGUUACAAUUCAAAGUAUAGUGAUCUAGAAGGAAUGAAUUCUAAUUGGACUUUGAAAGAAAAAGACCUAGAAAAACAGAAGGAUUAUUUAAACAGAAGUGGAAGCGUAUUGAGUGAUAGUUCUAAUGUUAGUGGUUUUGUUAAAGAUACUAACAGAUAUGACCCAAAUAUAGAAGGUUUUAUAAGAUCAGCAAGUGCCAGACUUCCUUCAUCUACUGAAAGAGAAGGCGAAAAGAAAGUACAACAGCGUGAGGAGUCUAUGAAAAGACUUUUGGAAUGGAAGCAAAGGAUGUUGCAGUCUCCGCUUACUAGAAAGAGUACACCAGCUACGAUUUCUCUUGCAAGAUCCUUAAAUCAAAGUAGGCAAUCAUUGCGAUCAGAUCAGUAUAAGCCUAAGACGUAUAAAAACGCAUCUUACAACAGCUAUUCUUCAGACGAUGAAGCUUCUAUGACGAUGUCAGGCACAAAUAUCGAACCAAGCCCAAAUAACAACAACAAUAUUAAUCAUACAAACCAGCAAAAUUUGUCAAAAAAAGCAUUUCUCGGAAGUAACACAUCUAUUGGGAGGAGUAAUAGAGAUGGCAAUAUACCAGUACGAGCUGUAAGUCCAAGAGUACGCUGGGUUGAAGAAAAACCGUCUAAUGAGCAAUACGAUUCGCAACUGAUUACAACCUCGCAGCAAAAUUUAAAUACAACAAUGGGAGCAGAAGAGUCUUGGGCUACGGUUAGGUCUCCGUCAAGAGUUCAACAACAACCGAUUAAAGCGGUCAGCCCUAGGAUACGGAGGAAUACAGAAAACGAUGAUAUGCGUAAGGAGGUUCAAAAUCAAGAAAUAAGUGAAGUGCCAACAGCCGGUGAACUUCUCGGAAGAAGUCAUGAAGAGUUAGUUCUGCUUUUGAUUCAAUUAAGAAGACGCCAUGCGGCGAAUCAUCGUGCCAUUGAAACAUGCUGUGCUCAAAUUAGUAGCAUUGAGGAUUGUAUGAGUUCAUUAAAAGCUAUGGAGCGAGAAGAAAGUCUGCAACGCUUAGAACAGCUGAAAAUGCAACUGAUGGAACUUGAAAACCAAUAUGAAAAAAGCAAGCCGUUGGUACAAUUAGUCGAUAACAUGGUCAAAUUAGGGUCAUUGUACAAUAGACCCGGUUCUACAAUUGAAAGGUUGGAAAGAAAUCAGCGUUUAAGACAAAAGGUCCUCGCUGAACAUUCUUUGGAGCAACAAAGAUGGUUAGAAAGUGCUGCAGCUGGCAAGCCUCUUGAAACAGAAGCAGCUAGGGUGAGAGUUGCAGAAUUAUGGGCAUUAGAACAAGAGUUAGCUGAUGAAGCUGCUAUACUGCAGGGAUUGAAAACUGACAAAGACGCUAUCGAUUCUCUACUCACUGGAGUUCGCAGCAAACUCGAUAGUGUCAACGUUACUAGCAGAUCUCAACAAUCGAAUAGCGGCUUGGAAGUGGAACUCGCCCGAGUGCAUGCCAUGUUGGCGCACAAUUCUAAGGUUUAUAAGAAACUAGAACAGACGGUGGCCGAUAACGCGCGCCUGGAGCGCGAGCUGCACCACCUGCGGCGCGCGCUGCGGGCUCAGCGCGCCAACGCGCACGCGCAGCCCGCGCACCCCACCGCGCUGCUGGAGGACGAGGUAACUCGUGUUCAACACCUAGUGUCGGCGCUGCAACGUCAGAGACAAGAGCUGAGCCGUGCAGUAAGACAUCUCACACAACAGUCUCAUGCACUGCAAACGACUCACGAUUCUAUGCCUGGUAAGCGUCCUGGCAGAAAUCCGACCACAUGCUGGCAGGAAACUAACUUAGACACAGGUCAUACAGUUGAUCACGGUCAAUCUGAUUACGAUUAUGAAAUGGCAGCUCCGGUUUUCCCGCCUGGACAUUAUGGACACAACAAUGUUGAGACACCACUGUAUGUUGACACUAGAACACCAGGAAUGGAUGUUGCAUCGCCAAUUAAUAGUGAGGACAUGCAGCAUACUGCUUUUGGCAAUUUAUCGAACGUUGAAAAACAAGAGAUAAAAACCGUUCGAAUUGUAAAAAGAGAAAGUGAAAGACGCCAAAGAGAUAGAGAGCGUUCCCUGCAGCCGAUGUCCGAUUGGUCCACCAACAAUAUCACUGCCAACCUCGACCAGUUCCUAGAAGAGGAACUAGUACAACCUAUUAAUAACUAUCGAGCUUCAUCCUUACCGAGAACAGAUUACAAUAAAUAUGAAGAAUAUUACACAAAACCACAGAAUGUCGAGCCUCCGAACUAUCUUCGAUUGAAUGAUAAGAAUAUGGAUCAAAGCCCGAAGUACCCAUCGAGCCCUUCUCUCUCCAACUAUGACUAUUCUCGUGACAUAUCAUCGUUAAGCAGCAGCUACCACAAGAGCUACGACAAAUACGAUCGAACCAUAUCUUUAUCAACCCAGUAUUUGAACAGUCCAACUGAUAGUUCUAGGACUUUGACAAACGAUCCAAUGUCGAAGACGAGCAGCAUUGUCAGUUUAACGAGAUCGAAUAUGGAACUGUCUCCAAUAUUUAAAAGCGAAGCCGCGAAACAGAUUAUUACUGAAAUGUCAGGAGAAAAUACCAAGAACGGAUCUUUGCAUAGACGACAAGUGCCGAAGGAAAAGAGACGACAUUACACUGCACCGCAUCAUUUAAGUGCGAAAACACUCAAUGAAAUGCCCAAGGAUAUGUACAACCAAGAUGCUCUGGGUAGGUCCUUGGAUGACGCAGACAUGGAACGAGCUUUAAGAGGAUCUGCACCUGACGUUGUGCGGUCUGCGCUGCCUUCUAGGAAAAUGCCAGACUCUAUUGACCAACUUCUGGCUGCACCGCAGAAAAUCAUUAUCCCCGAGCGGUAUAUACCUGAAAAGCCUCCAGAACUGUCACCAGAGGAGCAGCAAAAACGACAAGAAAAGGUAGAGUCCAUCAAAAAGAUGCUCACCGGCUCUUCUGCUGAUCCAAGCAAGAGCCCGGAUGGUGAAGAGAAGCGACAACGGGAACACUUGCUCCAGAUGAACCAGAUCCUUGCCAAGCAGGUCACCGAGAUGAGCAAAAUCAUAGCUGGUACCAACGCUGAAGGGCCGUCCAGCGCGAACAACUAAUCAACGAAACAUACCACUUACCAUAUCACGCACGAUUAGACAGUAGAAACUUAGAAUUAUCAUCAUCAGGAAGAAAAUAAAUGAUAAUAAAAUUUGUAUACAAUUUUGUUGCUUUAAAUUCUGGCGGUCCUUAGAAGAUUCAUCCACUAUAUGAAAGCAUGGUUUCGUUUUUUGCAUUUUGUUUAAAAGCCUUGGAGGAGCUGCCUCUACACGAUAACAACGAUGACUAUGAAGACCGAUCGCCCGAUGUCGAGUUGCCGAUUUAUCAACAGAGGGAUAAUUUCUUUACAUAAAAUAAAUACUCAAAUCGAACCAUUACCCCAUUUUGAUUAAACUUUUUCUAAUAAAUUUUAUUGUUACCUCUUCUUUCAAGUAAUAAAAAAUUACUUGCUAGCAUUCUACUGAUUGUUGAUUUCAAUGGACUGUAUACAAUUUUUAUAUUUAAAGUUUAUUUCUCUGGGACGAAAAUUUUACGUUGACGUGAAUUUGAAAUUAACGAUGACUUAAAAUUGGAUUUCACAUAAUAUUGUAAUAAUCUCUUGUUUACGAAAUCAUUGUCAAAUAUAUCGGAUUAACAUUUUUCGAAAGUUGUUUACGCUCAAAGUAGAAAAGUGCUUUUGGUGUAAAGUCUCACCUGAAUUAUAAUGCGAGUCGUUCCUAUAAACCUUAAUGAGCAGUAGUGACAUAUUAAUCAUCGUAUAUCUUAAUAAGAAAAAUCUUGACGCCAAAUAUAUGGCGUAUGUAUGUUGUGUGAAUUGCCUUCCCAAAAUCUUUCCUAAGCAAAUAUUACAUCCUUCGCUUUCAGCUUACGUACAUAUCGUGACAUAUCUGUGGAUUAACAUUAACAAUAUGUGAAACGUAUUCUCAGGAUUGAGUUUCUUUCAAUAAUUGCUCAAUUUUAUAAACAUUCCUCCAAUUAUCGUGAUUUGUUACAUAGAUCAUAUGUAAAAAAAAUCAAGCUGUUCAUUCAAUUCUAGGGCCAGUUGAUAAUAAAAUUCUCAUAAUCAAUUAAUGAAAUACAGUCUUCUACGUAAAAAAGGCCUUCAAUUGUUAUUUUAGAUGUAAGAUUGUAUGACUUACAACGUAGUUUAUUUAUAAAUAUAUUAUUAUUAUAAAGAUGCCAUGUUAAAAUGUAUACUUACUAUAGUAAAGCACACGUUUAAUUUAAUUUCUUAAACGAAUAGAAAAUGCGUUUUAGUAUUGUUUCGUUCUUAAAUUAUUUCUAAGUUAUAUAUAAUUUCAAUAAACUAACCUCCCUUAGAUAUUAAAAAUAUUAAUUUUGUGUUAGUUGUAGAUAUUAUAUUACGUAAUUGUAUUUUGCACAUAGUUGUCAAUUGUAGGUACUUAAAAGAUCUUAUGAAUAUACCAAUGUAUUUAUCAAAACUAUUAUAUAGUCGUAUAUCGGAAUGCUUCGCGUAUUAUUUGUAGGAAGCAACGAAUUGGAACAUAUGUGAUAAACAUUAAUAUACCUGAUUUUUUUAUGAUAUCACUUGUAUACUUCUUUCAAUAUAUAAGUAAUCUUGUAUUGUUAGACGUAGAUAAUUAGUACAUGACUGUAUUAGCCUAUGUAAGCUUUAAAUAUUAAUGUUAUAACUCCGAUACGUAUAACUUUAUUAUUAUAUGGUACUAUCGACGUUGCUUCAUGUAGCUUUCGAUUAUUUAACGUUUUCCCCAGAGUAAGUGAUGAGUAUGUAACAUAAUUAGAGACAUCUUCGUUUUAUACUCUUUUACUAACAAUACCUUUAGUUAUAAAAUUUUAAUACAAUAUUGAAAAUUCACGAAUUUAAAGCUAUGUAUCGCAAUAUUUUCGCAUUAUCCAAUGCGACUUAUGUAAUAAUGUCCUAUGAAGUAAACUAUACCUAUUAUUGAAGAAUUUAAAUAUUAUGAAUUGGUAAAAACUAUUAAUUUUCAAGUAAAUCAUAGACUGAUAUAUUUUUUGCCUUAUAAGCCUGUCCUUUAAAAGAUUUCCUAAUAUUUCUUUGUUUAUAUUGUCAAUUAUGUACUUGUCUGUCUGAAUAAAGAUAAAAUUAAUAUUGUU